UAGGGAAUCUUCGGCAAUGGACGAAAGUCUGACCGAGCAACGCCGCGUGAGUGAAGAAGGUUUUCGGAUCGUAAAACUCUGUUGUUAGAGAAGAACAAGGACGUUAGUAACUGAACGUCCCCUGACGGUAUCUAACCAGAAAGCCACGGCUAACUACGUGCCAGCAGCCGCGGUAAUACGUAGGUGGCAAGCGUUGUCCGGAUUUAUUGGGCGUAACGCGAGCGCAGGCGGUUUCUUAAGUCUGAUGUGAAAUCCCCCGGCUCAACCGGGGAGGGUCAUUGGAAACUGGGAGACUUGAGUGCAGAAGAGGAGAGUGGAAUUCCAUGUGUAGCGGUGAAAUGCGUAGAUAUAUGGAGGAACACCAGUGGCGAAGGCGGCUCUCUGGUCUGUAACUGACGCUGAGGCUCGAAAGCGUGGGGAGCAAACAGG
rnacentral:rRNA from 1 species